rnacentral:rRNA from 1 species
CCCUUAGAUGUCCUGGGCUGCACGCGCGCUACACUGAUGUGUUCAAUAAGCACCUAACCUACUCCGAAGGGACUGGGUAACCUUUGCAAAGCACAUCGUGAUGGGGAUAGAUUAUUGCAAUUAUUAGUCUUGAACGAGGAAUUCCUAGUAAACGCAAGUCAUCAGCUUGCAUUGAUUACGUCCCUGCCCUUUGUACACACCGCCCGUCGCACCUACCGAUUGAAUGGUCCGGUGAAAUCUUCGGAUUGAGACUUUGAUUUGUUUACUCAAAACGCUGUUUCAAGAAGUUGAUUAAACCUUACCAUUUAGAGGAAGGUGAAGUCGUAACA